UGCGGUGGGUCUCCAUGGCCCCAGGCUCCUCUUCCAUCCAGGCAGCCCCAUCCUCACUUGUCUGCCCUUCCAGCCCCCAUAAGGCAGGACGUUGACAAAAGGGGCUUGGCCUGUGCACUGCCAAAGGCCUCAGACUUCCCUUCGUGGACCUUCUGCUAUCAAGCCCAGGACUUCAAAGACUGACUGUACCAAUACCUUCCUAGGGACUGCAGAGACUCAUGCUUCACCCCUUUCUAAAGAAAACUGACCCAGGAAUGUAGUGGGCAUGGACGUCUAGAGCCAGGGAGGAGAAGCUGGUGUCUUAUACGGGUCCCUGGAUUUCUGGAAACAGUGUCAGAAGCUACAGAGGUCAGGGAGAAUGAGGACUGAGAAGAGGCCAUUGGGUUUGGCCACUGAAAGACCAUCGGUUACUUUGAAGACAGUGGAAGGAGGAGGCAGGAACCAUAAAACUGGACUGUCAGAGAUGGAACCUUUUCUGUACAAAAAGGAAAACCCAGUGAACCCUCUUUGGCGCUGCCUUUUCCCAGCUACCCACCUUCCUCCACUGGCUGAUCCGGGACCCCCAGCCUCUCUGACAGAGACCUGAGGAGUGAGUGUCCCCAGUGUCAUGCCCAGCCUUUGGACACUAGAGACCAUGCCAGGGUAGAAAUUGCAAGUCCUUGAGUGUGUAAGGAAACUUUCCUUUUAUUAAUUUUUAUUAUGCCAUUCCUCCUGGAACACUUUGGCUAACCAUGGUCUGUUUUCUGUUAAUGUUAACCUCUGCAUUGUGGUAGGGUUAUUGGCCAGCAGCAAUGUUCCAUAUGAGACAUUUCUCCCACACCAAGAACCAGGAUUCUUUUGUCUUUCCCUCCCCAGAGUCUGGUCCAGGGCUUGACGUGUCUUUGGUGCUUCAUAAUCACUUGUUAAAUGAUUGACUGAUGCAAAAACUGCCCUUCACCAAAGCCCAUCUGCAUUCCUCAGUUCUGGACUUUUCCUCUCUGGGGUGUGGGAGGGAGGUGGCCAUGAAGUGCAGGCAGUCAUGAGGCCCAGAGAAGCCAAGCCAUUCCACGCCUCUGUCAUUGCUUCCAGACCCCUGUCCCCUCCAAAGUGUCCUCGUCGCCUUCCUGUGGCCACUCCCCAUCUUCUCCAGUCCUUCCUGAAUUACAGUCAACUCAGACAUCCCGGGGGGAUCUGGAUGGGGCAGAGGACCCAGACUUGACUGUCACCUCCCUGUUCCCUGGCCAGGGCCCUCCCUCCACAGUUCAACACUGGGGACGCAUUCCCACCCACUGGCCAGCCCCAAAGCACUCUGCUGCCAUCCAUUCUUCAUUCAUCCAGUGGGAAUGGACACCGAGGGAUGCUGACAGGGCUUUGCCAAUCCCGGGGGGGUGGGGUUCCUGUGGCCUCUGGCUUUUGUGCCCUUUGAAUGUCUGCUGACUGCCAUUGGAAGUGGCCUAGAAAAGCUACUGGGCCCUGGAAUGAGGCAGCCAAAGGCCCUCUCCCCAUCACCCCCACUCCCUUACCCUCCUCUCCUCAUGUGCCUGAUAUGUAUCCUUCCUGAAGAAUUCCUGGCUAACCCCAGAAAAGGGGUGAAAAGCCCCCCCCACUUCACCCAGUGCUCAGGAGGCCUUUUCUGGCCUCAGGACGGGUACCCGGGGUGAAUCAAGGCCUCCAAGGGAAAUCUGCCCAACUCCAAGAGAAACGUGGUAGCCUUGGACUGGAUGCUGUGUGAGGCUGGACCAAUCACUUUCCCCUCUGGGCCAGUUACCUCAGAAAUGGGGAAAAGGGCUGGAGCUGAGGCUUCCUGAAAGUUCCUACCAGCAGGCCAUUAUGUGAUGACAGGGGCCAACUGUGGGGUGCCCAUGAUUGGUUCCGGCCCUCCUUCCAGCUCGGACCUGAUGUUACUCCUUCUCUGUCUCCUCCUCUGGCCCCUCCUCCAGACCAGGCCCUCUCACCAUGGGCGUCCCCCAGGGCUCUGUCCUGGGCCCUCUGCCCUUCUCCAUCUGGGUCAUCUCAUCGGCUCCCAUGGAUUGAAUGACCAUCUAUGCUGAUGAUUCUUAGAUCUCCCUGUCCUGCCCCAACCUUCUCACAUCUCCAGCUGCCUCAGACGUCUCCAACUGGACAUCCAGUGGGUGCCACACUCAGUGGGUCCAAACAGAGCUCAUGACCUUUCCCUCCAAACCCUCCCCCCUCAGCCUUCCCUGUGAGUGCCCUGCCAGGCCCUUGGGCCCCCAGCCUCGGGGUCAUCCCAGACUCCUCACUCCCUCUCACUCCCUAGACCCAGUGUGGUGCCCAGUCCUCAAAUCCUCCCCCUCCUCUUCCCUGACACAGCCCCCACCCCAGUGCAGGCCCCUCAUCACUUUAUGCCUCGAUUACUGCCGUUGUCACUGGGAGGGGGGUCCUGCCUGCCUCAGUCUCUCCCUACUCUGCUCCAUCCUCCAUUCAUACCCUAAAAGGAUCUCCCCAGAGCUCAGGCCUGACCAUACCACACUCUACUCAGUAACCCCGCAGUGGCUCUCUCUGGCCUGCAGGAACAAUACAGACAGCUCUUCGGGGCCUUCAGAGCCC